rnacentral:rRNA from 1 species
ACGGGAGGCAGCAGUGGGGAAUAUUGCACAAUGGGGGAAACCCUGAUGCAGCGACGCCGCGUGAGUGAAGAAGUAUUUCGGUAUGUAAAGCUCUAUCAGCAGGGAAGAUAAUGACGGUACCUGACUAAGAAGCUCCGGCUAAAUACGUGCCAGCAGCCGCGGUAAUACGUAUGGAGCAAGCGUUAUCCGGAUUUACUGGGUGUAAAGGGAGCGCAGGCGGUCUGGCAAGUCUGAUGUGAAAACCCGGGGCUCAACCCCGGGACUGCAUUGGAAACUGUCAGACUAGAGUGUCGGAGGGGUAAGUGGAAUUCCUAGUGUAGCGGUGAAAUGCGUAGAUAUUAGGAGGAACACCAGUGGCGAAGGCGGCUUACUGGACGACAACUGACGCUGAGGCUCGAAAGCGUGGGGAGCAAACAGGAUUAGAUACCCUGGUA